rnacentral:rRNA from 1 species
AUAUUGGGCAAUGGACGCAAGUCUGACCCAGCAACGCCGCGUGAAGGAAGAAGGCUUUCGGGUUGUAAACUUCUUUUGUCAGGGAACAGUAGACGAGGGUACCUGACGAAUAAGCCACGGCUAACUACGUGCCAGCAGCCGCGGUAAUACGUAGGUGGCAAGCGUUGUCCGGAUUUACUGGGUGUAAAGGGCGUGUAGCCGGAGAGACAAGUCAGAUGUGAAAUCCGCGGGCUCAACCCGCGAACUGCAUUUGAAACUGUUUCCCUUGAGUAUCGGAGAGGUAACCGGAAUUCCUAGUGUAGCGGUGAAAUGCGUAGAUAUUAGGAAGAACACCAGUGGCGAAGGCGGGUUACUGGACGACAACUGACGGUGAGGCGCGAAAGCGUGGGGAGCAAACAG